ensembl:snRNA U4 U4 spliceosomal RNA
AGCUUUGCGCAGUGGCAGUAUCUUAGCCAAUGAGGUUUAUCCGAGGCGCGAUUAUUGCUAAUUGAAAACAAAGUGUAUAUACAAAAACACAUGGCUUAAACCCAAAUUUUAGUCUGUUUCCAACUAUGGA